AACGCAUCUUGCACCUUCCAGGUCUCCUGGAAAGUAUGCUUGUUUGAGUAACAGCAACAUUAUCUCUAAGAGUUUCUCUUAGGAAUUGGAACGUCAAGCAGCUAGCUGUUUGUGUUCUUUAAUUGAUAUGCAGAGUGUUUUGCCAAUCAAAUGUGAGAUAAACAUCGCACAGAGUAGUUGACGGCGCCUCUGCUACGCCCGGAAGUGUGCACCUGACAGACAGACUAACCUCUGUCUUAAUUUGCGCUUCAUCUUAUUAUCGGUGAUCUCAAAUCAAGCAAGACUACCCGCUGAACUUAA
rnacentral:misc_RNA from 1 species